GGCGGGACACGUGGUAUCCUGUCUGAAUAUGGGGGGACCAUCCUCCAAGGCUAAAUACUCCUGACUGACCGAUAGUGAACCAGUACCGUGAGGGAAAGGCGAAAAGAACCCCGGCGAGGGGAGUGAAAAAGAACCUGAAACCGUGUACGUACAAGCAGUGGGAGCCUCUUUAUGGGGUGACUGCGUACCUUUUGUAUAAUGGGUCAGCGACUUAUAUUCUGUAGCAAGGUUAACCGUAUAGGGGAGCCGAAGGGAAACCGAGUCUUAACUGGGCGUUAAGUUGCAGGGUAUAGACCCGAAACCCGGUGAUCUAGCCAUGGGCAGGUUGAAGGUUGGGUAACACUAACUGGAGGACCGAACCGACUAAUGUUGAAAAAUUAGCGGAUGACCUGUGGCUGGGGGUGAAAGGCCAAUCAAACCGGGAGAUAGCUGGUUCUCCCCGAAAGCUAUUUAGGUAGCGCCUCGUGAAUUCAUCUUCGGGGGUAGAGCACUGUUUCGGCUAGGGGGCCAUCCCGGCUUACCAACCCGAUGCAAACUACGAAUACCGAAGAAUGUUAUCACGGGAGACACACGGCGGGUGCUAACGUCCGUCGUGAAGAGGGAAACAACCCAGACCGCCAGCUAAGGUCCCAAAGUCAUGGUUAAGUGGGAAACGAUGUGGGAAGGCACAGACAGCCAGGAUGUUGGCUUAGAAGCAGCCAUCAUUUAAAGAAAGCGUAAUAGCUCACUGGUCGAGUCGGCCUGCGCGGAAGAUGUAACGGGGCUAAACCAUG
rnacentral:rRNA from 1 species